UACGGUAGGGUGCAAGCGUUGUCCGGAAUUAUUGGGCGUAAAGAGCUUGUAGGCGGUUUGUCGCGUCUGCUGUGAAAUUUCGGGGCUCAACCCCGAACUUGCAGUGGGUACGGGCAGACUAGAGUGCGGUAGGGGAGACUGGAAUUCCUGGUGUAGCGGUGAAAUGCGCAGAUAUCAGGAGGAACACCGGUGGCGAAGGCGGGUCUCUGGGCCGAUACUGACGCUGGAGGAGCGAAAGCGUGGGGAGCGAACAGG
rnacentral:rRNA from 1 species